AUGUGCUUGAGCAGGCAUUUUGACCUAGGAUGCCGGGUGCAACAUCUCGGGGAGAACCAAGUCGUCGUAAUGGCAUCUCUAGCCAGAACAGUUCAGUUGGUGCACGAUGACGUGGUGGCUCGACAAGUGUGGGCAACAGCAGUAGGGUCCCCCUUGAAGUGGAGCAUGAUGACUACAAUUCUGGGGUUGAUGAAGAGAAGCUAUAUUCUGAUGUUAUUCGGAAUUUACGACGGGCACCUCGGGCUGAUAACCAAGAUGAGGCUCACAAUGCAGUCCGUGUGGAUGAUGACGUGGUGGGUGAGGACGAAGACCUUGCAGCUGUUGAAUGGGACCCUUUGA
rnacentral:rRNA from 1 species